UCAGCUGGGUGACUUCUGGGGCAGCGAUGGGCAUGAAGGCCAGAGCAGAGGGACUUUGCUUCCUCACAAACAGGGAGAUGGGGCUGGAAGAAACACCUGCACUGCUGUCAUGCACCAGCUGCUCUGCCAGAGGCAGCCUGAAGGGGUUAAGGAGAGGCCUCCUCUUCUCCCUCCAGCUAAAAAGCCAAUUUGCACCAGCUGGACCCUGUUUCUGGGGACAACAGAUUGGGAGAUGGUGGUGCUGGGCUGGGUGUUCGGGGAUAAGAGCAGUGUGGAAGGGGUGGUGGGGGUGUGUGAUGUGUGUUCUUUUUCCUGAAUGAGCCUGUUACUUUAGAAGAGAGGACUGGCCUGCUGAUAUGGGGUCUGUGGGCUGUAAAACAAGGGACAGGAGGCUGUCUGCAGAAAUGGACUUCUAGAGGCUGAUUAACAUAGAUCAAACUCAGAAUUGGUACUUAGGUGAUUCCUGCAAACAAAUGAAUGCUCUUGGAGUUCCUCUGGCAGACAUCUUGUGACUGCUGCUCUGCAGGGCUGGGCGCGUUGUGAAGUUCUUUAUCUUCAAUAAAGAUACCAAAUCCAAAUUUUGAAAGCUUCUCUACUCAGAAGAGCUGAAGAAAGAUGUCGUCAUCAGCCAAAUCUUCAAGACAGAAAAGCGCAGCUAAAUUUGAAAAAUGUGACGUGUUUAUUGCCAUGAUGAGGUGUUCUAUUAGCUGGAAAGGAUCUAUAAGGCUCCACACCUGGAAAUCCCCUUGGCCUCUCCCAGUGCUGUACCUGUAGGUAGUUGCUUAAAAGCAUUUUUCCACUGCCAGUCUGACAGGAUUGCAGUAGGACCCACCGGGGCAAGACUGACGCUGUGGAGAAGAGAAGCUCAAGUCACACUCCUGCUUAUAAUGCCAAGUGCUCUGUAUGAAAACUUUUUAGGAGAAAACUGGGGCCUAACAAUAAAUAAAUAAAUGCC